rnacentral:rRNA from 1 species
ACGCACGCUGGCGGCGUGCUUAACACCUGCAAGUCGCACGGAAAGGCCUCUUUCGGGGGGUACUCGAGUGGCGAACGGGUGAGUAACACGUGAGUAACCUGCCCUUGACUUUGGGAUAACUUCAGGAAACUGGGGCUAAUACCGGAUAGGAGCUCCUGCUGCAUGGUGGGGGUUGGAAAGUUUCGGCGGUUGGGGAUGGACUCGCGGCUUAUCAGCUUGUUGGUGGGGUAGUGGCUUACCAAGGCUUUGACGGGUAGCCGGCCUGAGAGGGUGACCGGCCACAGUGGGACUGAGAUACGGCCCAGACUCCUACGGGAGGCAGCAGGGGGGAAUAUUGCACAAUGGGUGGAAGCCUGAUGCAGCAACGCCGUGUGCGGGAUGACGGCCUUCGGGUUGUAAACCGCUUUCGCUCAUGACGAAGCUUUGUGUGACGGUAGUGGGUAAAGAAGCACCGGCUAACUACGUG